CAUGGUCUUCUGGGAAAGCCUUUGCGGCAUGGGAUGGGGUCGCGUCCUAUCAGCUUGAUGGCGGGGUAACGGCCCACCAUGGCUUCGACGGGUAGCCGGCCUGAGAGGGCGACCGGCCACAUUGGGACUGAGAUACGGCCCAGACUCCUACGGGAGGCAGCAGUGGGGAAUAUUGCACAAUGGGCGCAAGCCUGAUGCAGCGACGCCGCGUGAGGGAUGGAGGCCUUCGGGUUGUAAACCUCUUUUGUUAGGGAGCAAGGCAUUUUGUGUUGAGUGUACCUUUCGAAUAAGCACCGGCUAACUACGUGCCAGCAGCCGCGGUAAUACGUAGGGUGCAAGCGUUAUCCGGAAUUAUUGGGCGUAAAGGGCUCGUAGGCGGUUCGUCGCGUCCGGUGUGAAAGUCCAUCGCUUAACGGUGGAUCCGCGCCGGGUACGGGCGGGCUUGAGUGCGGUAGGGGAGACUGGAAUUCCCGGUGUAACGGUGGAAUGUGUAGAUAU
rnacentral:rRNA from 1 species